rnacentral:lncRNA from 1 species
UCAUACCCUACUCACUUAUAUCUCAUCCAACGCUUAUUCCUCAUCCAAUUAGCAGAAAGGUAUAGAAAACUUUUCUUCUCCCUUUCUCUUUUUUUUUCUCUUUUUUUUGCGUGUGUUUUUUUUUUAUUCUGUUUUGUUUUGUUUUGUUUUUUUUGUUGUUGUUUUUUUUGUUUUUGUUUUGUUUUUUUUUUUUUUUUUUUGCAGGAAUGACUUUGUCGAGCUUCUUCUAGGGACGAUCGGGCUUCUGCCGUCAGAUCUAUCGCCCUAGUAGGAGAGAUCGACUCUGUCAUCGUCGGGCUUUGAUCUUCGUUUGCAGAAAUGACUUUGUUGAGCUUCUUCUAGGGACGAUCGGGCUUUUGCCGUCAGAUCUAUCGCCCUAGUUGGAGAGAUCGACUCUGUCAUCGUCGGGCUUCAAUCUUCGUUUGCAGAAAUGACUUUGUUGAGCUUCUUCUAGGGACGAUCAGGCUUUUGCCGUCAGAUCUAUCGCCCUAGUUGGAGAGAUCGACUCUGUCAUCGUCGGGCUUCAAUCUUCGUUUGCAGAAAUGACUUUGUUGAGCUUCUUCUAGGGACGAUCGGGCUUUUGCCGUCAGAUCUAUCGCCCUAGUAGGAGAGAUCGACUCUGUCAUCGUCGGGCUUCGAUCUUCGUUUGCAGAAAUGACUUUGUUGAACUUCUUCUAGGGACGAUCGGGCUUUUGCCGUCAGAUCUAUCGCCCUAGUUGGAGAGAUCGACUCUGUCAUCGUCGGGCUUCAAUCUUCAUUUGCUUUUUCUUCUUUCUUUUGUUUUUUUUGUUUUUCUUUCUUUUUGUUUUUGUUUUUUUUUUCUUUUUCUUCUUUCUUUUUGUUUUUGUUUUUUUUUUCUUUUUCUUCUUUCUUUUUGCUUUUUUUUUUUUUUUUUUUCUUUCUUCUUCCUUCUUUCUUCUUCAUCAUUUUCUUCUUUCUUCUUCUUGCUUCUUCAAUUUCUUCUUUUUCUUAUUCUUUUGAGUCUUAUUUCCUCUUCUAUAGUUUUGGUAAGAGCGAGACUCUCUUUGGGUCGGGAUCGACUGUCUUUUCUUUCGGUGGGUCACCACUAUCCACCCUUCAUCGUCUUCUUCAAUUGGUCUUUUCUCUCCUUGAGGAUCCUCGUAUGAGAUUUCCUGAAAGAACUGGACAACUAUAGGCUCAAAGGUCCCGAACUGGACCAAGCUUUUCCUUUGCUCAAAAAUCAAUCUCGAUGAAGAAGCCUCAGACAUUAUCGUCACUUCAGCGUGGUUUGUUUGAGCUACUUCCUCCAAAUCUAGCUCUAUCCUUUUCUCACGAGCCAGCCUUAGAAUUAGCUCCUUCAGCACGAAGCCACAGAAGUUGAUUGUUGUUGUGGCUGAUUUUCUUGUACCACGUUCUUCCCUUUGUCAUCAACUUUAACGACAGGAGUUUGACUCGAUUCAGCAGUUUCACGAGUCUGCAUCUGCUCCUUUAAAGCUGCAAUUUCGUGGUCUCGUUCAUCAACAACCUUCAUCAGGAGAUUAAUUUUUCUCUCCAUCUCCAACAACCUACAUCAGCCAUCAUGACGGACAUCACAUCUGGGUGUGCUUCUUUCAGUGACCUGCUAGAGGCAGAAUCAUAAUCAUUAUAUAGAGGAUUUUCCUUGAUGACAAUUCCAGCUUUAGGAGAUUCCAUCAAUUGCUUCAGGAUGCUCUGCGCGAUGGCGGAACCUUGGUCUUGCCCUUGGAUGAUCCCCUUGGAACGACUACGGGUGAUAGGUCCCGUGUAGGUGUCGCUUGCAGCUGAAGAUUUGGAUGCAGCUUUCUUUGAUGCCAUUGAUUUGCUUGUAGAUCUAGAUGAUGAGAGAGAGAUGAGAGGUAGAGAUGGUCCCACGGGCGUGCCAAUUUGUUCGCACGAGAUUUCCGGAGAAAUUUAAUUCGUGGACUUGAACUUGGGUUGAUGUUGUAUUUUUGUUGAUUUGAUGCGAUGCGGUUCAAUCUCUAGAAUUUGAUCCUCUGAUUCUCUCUCAACUGUAUGUCUACGCUUGAUUUGGAGGAAGCGGAGCACGUGAUGUUCUUGAAGUUUGUUGAACGUCUACGCUUAAUUUGGAGAAGCGGAGCACGUGAUGUUCUUGAAGUUUGUUGAACGUCUACGCUUGAUUUGGAGAAGCGGAGCACGUGAUGUUCUUGAAGUUUGUUGAACGUCUACGCUUGAUUUGAGAGAAGCGGAGCACGUGAUGUUCUUGAAGUUUGUUGAACGUCUACGCUUGAUUUGGAGAAGCGGAGCACGUGAUGUUCUUCAAGUUGGUUGAAUGCUUACGCUUGAUUUGAGGAAGCGGAGCACGUGAUGUUCUUGAAGUUGGAGUCUUGGAAGAAAGUUUGUAUCUUCAAAGCAGCUUCAAUCUUCGAGGGUGUGUCAACUUUAGAAGUUAGGGAGUCUUCUAGCUCUUGGAAGAAUUCUCUCUAGAUCUUCUAGAGUCAAAAUUUUCCAACCUCUACAAAUGAGGAGAAUUCCUCUAUUUAUAGAGUUCACUGGUGGGCUUUAUGGGUUUGAACCUGGUUGGUCCAUGGACCAGACCCAUGGGCUCAACCAUAUGGACUUAGGUUAUAUUUAGUCUUUGGGCUCAAUUAAGCUUAUUUUUUGGCUUAAUUGAACUUAGUCCAAGUAAAUAAUAUUUAAUUGAACUAAAAUGAUUAACUUAAUCCAACGAUUAAUAUGAAAACAUGUGGCAUUAUUAGAAUGACCAAUUUAUUUAUUUUAACUCUUUAAUUUUGGAGCAUGUGUCAAUUUUAAUUAGUUCCAAAUUUAAUUAUUUGUACUUUUCAUCAUUAACUUAAUAAAUGAUGUGGCAACUUGUGAUUGGUCUCAAAAUUUCUUAUUCAACAAAUGCCCCCUUUUCGAGAUUUAUGCACGUAUAUGGGUGAAUGAAUCUCGGAAAAGAUAAAUUUGAAGUCAAAGUACGAGCUUUUUUUUUUUUUUUACUCAAUUCAGCAUAUCAAAUUAAUCAAACUAUGAAUUUAGUACGUGAGUUUGAUUUAAAUUUAAAAUAAGGGUUGGAAUAUGGCCAAACCUUAAAAAAAUUCAAAGUUUUAUUUCCCACUUAAUUUUAUUUGAGGGAAAAAAAAAUUUAAUAUGAUGAUUUUUUUUUUUAAGUAAAAUUUGGAAUAUAACCAAAAUUUUAAUUUUGAAAUAAGGAUAAGGUUUCUACCGUACCUUAAUUUAUCUUGGGGAUGCAUAAGAAUUUGGAAUGACCAAUUUUAAUUUUGAGAUAAAAAAAAAUCAGGUCCUCAAUCUUAGGUAAAGUUGGAUUUAUGACUCGAUUUAAAUUCAUGAUAAAAAGGAGGUCAUAUAUGCAAGUUAAUUUAACUUAAAUUUUGAAAUUGAGAAUAUUUAUAUAUAUAUAUAUAUAUAUAUAUAUAUAUAUAUAUAUAUAUAAUAUAUAUUUUAAAAAUGUUUGAAAUUUUUAAAUAUUUUAAAAUAUCUCAAUAAAAGUUUAAACUUGAGAUUUAUCCAAAAAAAAAAAAGAAAUAAUUUAAAAUAAAAUAAGAUAAUUGGAUUAUCUUUUCUUUUUAUAUAUAUAUAUAUAUAUAUAUAUAUAUUAUAUAUAUAUAUAUAUUAUAUAUAUUUUUUUAAAAAUCAUUCCUAUUCCUUUUAGGAAUUGGAUUUGUUUUUUAAAAAAAUAAUUAAAUUAUCAUUCCUAAUCCUUUUAGGAAUUGGAUUUGUUGGGCUUAUAAAUAGACUCAUACCCUACUCACUUAUAUCUCAUCCAACGCUUAUUCCUCAUCCAAUUAGCAUAAAGGUAUAGAAAACUUUUCUUCUCCCUUUCUCUUUUUUUUCUCUUUUUUUUUUUGUGUGUGUUUUUUAUUCUGUUAUGUUUUGUUUUUUUUUUUUUGUUGUUGUUUUUUUGUUUUUGUUUUGUUUUUGUUUUGUUUUUUUUUUUUUUUUGCAGGAAUGACUUUGUCGAGCUUCUUCUAGGGACGAUCGGGCUUCUGCCGUCAGAUCUACCGCCCUAGUAGGAGAGAUCGGACUUUGUCAUCGUCAGGCUUCAAUCUUCGUUUGCAGAAAUGACUUUGUUGAGCUUCUUCUAGGGACGAUCGGGCUAUUGCCGUCAGAUCUAUCGCCCUAGUAGGAGAGAUCGAC